GAAUGUUAAUUUGUUCAGGGUCUGAAUAACUCAAAGAUUUUGUGUUGUCAUCAGCUUCAUCUCUUGUCCAACCCACGGGAUAGGAGUUAAAUAACAGCACUACAUUU
rfam:Lupinus angustifolius cultivar Tanjil chromosome LG08, whole genome shotgun sequence.